GUGCUUGCUUUGGCAGGACAUAUACUAAAACUGGAAUGAUACAGAAAAGAUUAGCCUGGCCCCUGUACAAGGAUGACCCUUAAAACUGUGAAAUGUUCCAUGUUUUU